GGCUGUUAAAUGAAUUCAGCAACUGACUUUUUACUCUUCACUAAGCAAGUUUAAGUGGCUGUUGUUCUUGAUGUUCUACAAUCUUAGAUAAAUGAUAUUAUAAAAAUUCAAGCUUUUAUCCAAUCAAACAAUGCAUGAGAAGACUACAAAGCCCUCAGCUUGAUCCUGCACUACUCUACCAAGAAAAUCUCUGAAGGGGUCAAAGUCUGCUCUCCUGAAGUCCAGGGAAGUGAACUUGCUGUGCCCCCUCCUCACUGCCUCAAGGACCUUGAAUGCCAGCACGCCACAGACAGCGCAGCUACUUCUGCCCUCGAGCUUCAUGUUCCCCACCAGCCUCUUCUUAUCGGUAGCACAAUGCAUGCGUGCAAAAAUGUGGAAGUGGCAUAUCUGAGUUCUGACCACUCUGCACAGCGAAUCCGCCAAUCUUUAUUGCGAUAAGUCCUCCAGGUGGCAACACACAUGCGCUUGAAGAUGUACAGAAGGCAUGGAUUUCUCCUAACUCCUCGAGGUGUAGGCGAGCAGACCAGCCAUGGACUGUGAGCUCUCCCCAAUUUUCCCCCAUCUAUUUCACAAUGUCUCUCAUCUUCCUCCGUGUUAUGUCCAAGUCCACACUGAGAACCAGCCUUUUUGGCUCCCAGCUGCCCCUGCGUGCACUGCAGCAUCCAAUUGG